AAAACAACUGUCCAGGUGCAUUACCAAAAUUGUUAAUCAGAUAUAAAAUUGUUAAUCAGAUAUAAACUGGUAUGUAUUAGUUUUUUAAUGAUUUGUUUUGGUUUGUUUUACUUGUUGCAUGUUAGAUUGGGCUGAAUGAGAGUUGGGCUUGCUGAUUAAAGACAAAGGAGCUGAUGGGCUGGCUUGCUAAAGAUAAAGUAUGAUGGGCUGGGCUUGUUGUUGCAGAGCAGCUGAUCCGGAUUUCUUCGGGUCGUUAUAUAAGUGUGCUUGAUGACAAACUUAUUGACAAGCCUUCAAAUCAAUGGCCACCGAACCACCACCAUCAUCCGUCGUUUCCAGAAGAAGAACCAAGAACCAGGCCAGACAAUUUAUUUCUCUUUCUAUCUUAGGUCUCGAUCUCUCUGGAAUGUAACCAGAGAUCUAGGGUUAUUUGUGUUUAAGAACUUGUUAGAUCUUGUUGGUUUCUGUAUCAAAUCGUCGUGUUGUGAUCUAAACCGUAGAGGUUGUAGAGAUUGUUUGUUCAUGAGUUUUCCGUGAGGGUUUUUUGUUUAAAUAAAAGUUUUCCGGUGAAUAACUCUGCUCUGUACUAUCAAAUUUGACAUGGUAUCAGAGCCUCAUGGCUUUGAUCGAUUCUGGUUCUUUCGUUGAUAUUGAGAGUGGGUUGUCGUCUUGGUUUCUUUAAGUCUGAAACCCUAAAUAAUUGAUGUCUAGGGUUUGCUUCGAAUAUGUUUUUAGAGAAAUUGUCAUCGGCUGAAAUUUUAUUAUCCGACUUAUUCUUGGUUUUAUUGACCACUCCCACAUCAUCUAGGGCUUCAACCAGUAGGUAAUUUUUAGCCACGAGUUAGGAUUUUCUGAUCGAAGGAUUUCUCGGCUGAUUACAGUUUCGUCCAUAUUCUACAGCUAUGUAGAUCUCUGUCUUCCGCUGUGGUUAUCAUUAAAUCUGGAUUUAGGGUUUGAAGUUUAUUCUCUAUGUCAGUUAACGAAGGAUGUUGGCUUUGAUAUGUGGUCUUGGUGAUUUAAUUAAGAUUGUGUGUGUAUCUCUGUUCAAGAUAUGUUCAAAAUCUAUUCAUGUGAGUGAUGAUCCAGGUCUGAAGGGUUCUUGGAUUUGGGGAUUUGGUGUUCCGAUCGUUUUUGGCGGUGAAUCAAAUAGAUCUGGUUAGAUCUAAGUUAUAGUGGAGUCUUGGUGAGCCUGGGUUUGCCGAUUUCAUAAAUGGUGUCUUCAGAAAAAGGAAACUUAAGGAAGCUGCUGUUCCGUUCAAGGUUCAACCCUUGAAGGUUGCAAAAUCCUUUUCGGAACUAGAGAAACCCUUGCUAGGGUUUGCUGUCUCGGUGAGAUUGUUCCUUGUAAUUAUUUCUUUCUUUAUUUUUCUGUCUUGCAUUUUAGGUAUCUUGUUACCAGACUAGUCGAGCGGCUUUGUUUUGGGACACAGAAAGGUGAACGAAGAACAGAGCCUCCUCAAAAGUUUUCAAAUCAAGAUCAAUUGUCAUUUGUGGAUUCAAAUUCCAGAUCUAUCUCGAUCAAAAUCUGUGAACGCUAAAGAUUAUUCGAACAUCAAGGUCAAUCUGCUCCCUUUUUCACUUUAAUUUCAUCUUAUGCAUACUAUAUGCAUAUAUGUAUACAUGCUUCUGUAGAAUAUCAAUUACUGACCCUGUAGUAAAUAUCUCAAUCAAUCUGAUACGAUCAUUAUUUGUUCAUAUAAAUUGGUGAGUUAAAUUGUUAGGUUAUCAAUUAGGGCAGUUAGAAAAUUAGUUUAAUUUGUUGAAUUUUGGGGACAGUUUUACAAUAUGGGUUUUUGAAUUUGAUUAAGUGUUUGAAGGAAUGAAAAACAAAAAUUGGGAGUGGGUUUUGGGUUUAAUAUAUGUAUAUUUGCUGUUGCAACCAUUUGGAGCUGCUGCGGUUACUGGUUGGUUUUGCGGGCGUUAUUGUUCCGUCAAAUACGUGUUCAACCCCCAAAGAAGCUAGUGUUGAACUUGAAAAAAAAAAAAUCAUACGAUAGAUAAAUGAUGAUCAGUAUUACAUUGUUGAUAUGUUAAUGUUAUUCAUCAUGGUUUUUCGCAUUUUUAUCAACCAAAUUUUAUGAAGGGCUUUAAUGGUUUGUUUAAAAAAUGGAUAUUUGUCGUUGAAAUAUAUAUAUAUUUUUUUUUUCUUUCGAACAAAAUUUAAAUGUUAAGUCACAUCCGGAAGUUUGCGUCUUCAUUAACAAAGUUUUGACGUAACUAUAAAGUUUAAAAAACAUUUUUUUUUACUUCAGGAUGGCUUCAUUAUGUUUGUAUUUUGGGUUUUGAUUUGUUUGAAAAAGGUUGGUCAAAAGGAAUUUGUAGGAUUAUUUGAGCUUUGUAAACACUAAACUUUGAAGAGGAGAAGGAAAUGUUAUAUGAAGUUUAGAGAAGUCACAUCAUCGUGAAAAUCAGGGAAGUUAAUUGAAUUUGUUUUGUUAUUAUUUUUCAUAUACUUGGUAUUUGUGAAGUCUCUGUUUUAUCUAGCCCUCAUCCAAGUAAGUGGUUACAUGUUUAAAAGGCAAGUAUAAAUAGCUAAUAUUUUUUAUCAAAGGUUUAUUGGUAAAUCAACACGUUAGGUUGUGUAAAUUGCUGAACAUGUUUAAUGUGUUUGGUCAUGCAACUGAGGGGGGGUGUUGAAAACAACUGUCCAGGUGCAUUACCAAAAUUGUUAAUCAGAUAUAAAAUUGUUAAUCAGAUAUAAACUGGUAUGUAUUAGUUUUUUAAUGAUUUGUUUUGGUUUGUUUUACUUGUUGCAUGUUAGAUUGGGCUGAAUGAGAGUUGGGCUUGCUGAUUAAAGACAAAGGAGCUGAUGGGCUGGCUUGCUAAAGAUAAAGUAUGAUGGGCUGGGCUUGUUGUUGCAGAGCAGCUGAUCCGGAUUUCUUCGGGUCGUUAUAUAAGUGUGCUUGAUGACAAACUUAUUGACAAGCCUUCAAAUCAAUGGCCACCGAACCACCACCAUCAUCCGUCGUUUCCAGAAGAAGAACCAAGAACCAGGCCAGACAAUUUAUUUCUCUUUCUAUCUUAGGUCUCGAUCUCUCUGGAAUGUAACCAGAGAUCUAGGGUUAUUUGUGUUUAAGAACUUGUUAGAUCUUGUUGGUUUCUGUAUCAAAUCGUCGUGUUGUGAUCUAAACCGUAGAGGUUGUAGAGAUUGUUUGUUCAUGAGUUUUCCGUGAGGGUUUUUUGUUUAAAUAAAAGUUUUCCGGUGAAUAA